rnacentral:rRNA from 1 species
UGCAAGUCGAGGGGCAGCACGAAUAGUAAUAUUUGGUGGCGACCGGCAAACGGGUGCGGAACACGUACGCAACCUUCCCGAAACAGGUGAAUAGCCCUCCGAAAGGAGGAUUAAUACACCGUAAGAUAGAGAGAUGGCAUCAUUUUUUUAUAAUAGGCAGCAAUGUCGGUUUUGGAUGGGCGUGCGCCUGAUUAGGUAGUUGGCGGGGUAACGGCCCACCAAGCCUUCGAUCAGUAACUGGUGUGAGAGCACGACCAGUCACACGGGCACUGAGACACGGGCCCGACUCCUACGGGAGGCAGCAGUAAGGAAUAUUGGUCAAUGGACGAGAGUCUGAACCAGCCAUGCCGCGUGAAGGAUGAAGGCCCUCUGGGUUGUAAACUUCUUUUAUCUGGGACGAAAAAAGGGUUUUUUAACUCACUUGACGGUACCAGAGGAAUAAGCACCGGCUAACUCCGUGCCAGCAGCCGCGGUAAUACGGAGGGUGCAAGCGUUAUCCGGAUUUACUGGGUUUAAAGGGUGCGUAGGUGGGUAAGUAAGUCAGUGGUGAAAUCUCCGGGCUUAACCCGGAAACUGCCAUUGAUACUAUUUAUCUUGAAUACUUUGGAGGUAAGCGGAAUAUGUCAUGUAGCGGUGAAAUGCUUAGAUAUGACAUAGAACACCAAUUGCGAAGGCAGCUUACUACACAGUUAUUGACACUGAGGCACGAAAGCGUGGGGAUCAAACAGGAUUAGAUACCCUGGUAGUCCACGCCCUAAACGAUGGAUACUCGACAUUAGCGAUACACAGU